rnacentral:rRNA from 1 species
CCUACGGGUGGCAGCAGUGAGGAAUAUUGGUCAAUGGACGGAAGUCUGAACCAGCCAUGCCGCGUGCAGGAAGACGGCUCUAUGAGUUGUAAACUGCUUUUGUACAAGGGUAAACCUGAACACGUGUAUUUAGCUGAAAGUACUGUACGAAUAAGGAUCGGCUAACUCCGUGCCAGCAGCCGCGGUAAUACGGAGGAUCCAAGCGUUAUCCGGAUUUAUUGGGUUUAAAGGGUGCGUAGGCGGAUUGUUAAGUUAGAGGUGAAAUGUUGGAGCUUAACUCUGGAACUGCCUGUAAAACUGGUGAACUAGAGAGUGGAUGCGGUAGGCGGAAUGUGUGGUGUAGCGGUGAAAUGCUUAGAGAUCAUACAGAACACCGAUUGCGAAGGCAGCUUACCAAUCUAUAUCUGACGUUGAGGCACGAAAGCGUGGGGAGCAAACAGGAUUAGAUACCCCUGUAGUC